GACGAACGCUGGCGGCGUGCUUAACACAUGCAAGUCGAACGGAAAGGCCCUGCUUUUGUGGGGUGCUCGAGUGGCGAACGGGUGAGUAACACGUGAGUAACCUGCCCUUGACUUUGGGAUAACUUCAGGAAACUGGGGCUAAUACCGGAUAGGAGCUCCUGCUGCAUGGUGGGGGUUGGAAAGUUUCGGCGGUUGGGGAUGGACUCGCGGCUUAUGCGCUUGUUGGUGGGGUAGUGGCUUACAAAGGCUUUGACGGGUAGCCGGCCUGAGAGGGUGAACGGCCACAUUGCGCCUGAGAUACGGCCCAGACUCCUACGGGAGGCAGCAGUGGGGAAUAUUGCACAAUGGGCGGAAGCCUGAUGCAGCAACGCCGCGUGCGUGAUGACGGCCUUCGGGUUGUAAACCGCUUUCGCCUUUGACGAAGCGUGAGUGACGGUAAUGGGUAAAGAAGCACCGGCUAACUACGUG
rnacentral:rRNA from 1 species